rnacentral:tRNA from 2 species
UAGCUCAGUUGGUAGAGCGUCUGCCUUACAAGCAGAAUGUCGGCGGUUCGACUCCGU